AGUCUUUUGAAGGUAUUAUUUCAUUUCUUCUGAUCUCUAUCAAGGUUCAUAAAUCUACUGUCCAUCUAAGUCAUGAAUCUUUAUGGGAAUCCGUCUUGUCUGUCUGCUAGCUUUUAACAUUUUCUCUUUUUAUUCUGCUAUUGUAUCAUUUCACUACUGCGUCUACAUGUGGGGAUUGUUGUUUGUUUAUUCUGCUCUGUACUUUUUCUGAGAUUUUGAACCGAGGACUCCUGUGGACAUGGUUUGGCUGUGUCCCCACCCAGAUUUCAUAUUGAACUGUAGCUCCCACAGUUCCCACGUGUUGUGGGAGGGAAGCCAGUGGGAGGUAAUUGAAUCGUGGGGCUGCGUCUUUCCCAUGCUAUUCUCAUGGUAGUGAAUAAGUCUCAUGAGAUCUGAUGGUUUUAUAAAGGGGAGUUUCCCUGCACGAGCUCUCUUCUCUUGUUUGUGCCUUUUACCUUCUGCCAUGAGGGUGAGGCUUUCCCAGACACGUGUAACUGUGAGUCCAUUAAACCUCUUUCUUUUGUAAAUUGCCCAGUCUUGGGUAUGUCUUUAUCAGCAGCAUGAAAACAGACGAAUACACCUGUUUUUCUCUGAGUCUGGAAAAAAUAAGUUACCAGCUUUUCAUAUAGUGCUGCUGCUCUAUUGUCUUCUUCUGAAAUUGUUGCUUCACAGAUACAGGACCCCUUGGACUAUCCUCCACCUCUGCCCUGCAUGUGAGUGUGUAUGUAGACGUGGAGAUAAACACACUUCAAGCACCCAAGAAGUCCUCAGUGGAAGGAGGAACCAUUAUUUUCAUGCGUCACUAAGAAGUGAAGGUGCCACAGACAAGGAGUGUAGUGGAAGACCCCUACGUAAGGGGCUGGGGCUGAACUCACUCUGCUGGGACCCUGCCUGCUCUGCUGUGCCCCUUGGGGCACAGCCCCCAGGGCAUACAGAAGGGUCUGCACUGCAGGAGCAUGUGAGGGAGACCAGGCUGCCUGUGGGCCCCUCAUCCUCUAACGAAGGACAAUUUAUGACCCAGCUGCAGUGAUGGGAAUUCAAGACCACUCAACAUGUUCACAUUCAAAAAAUCGGUAGGUAUCGAUUCACAUUACUGAGUUGACUGAAGACAGAGGCAGUAUUUAUUCGGAGUUGUGUUCCUGAUGUAAUAAUACUUAGAUUACAGUAUUUUCUGUAAUUACUUAGAAAUGACAAUUCAUAUUGGGUUAGUGAUAAAUCAGAGGCAAUUUAAAUAAUGUCAUCAGGAAUUGAGGGGCAUAGAUUCUGUGGAUUUCAUCUCAGCCAAUGGGCCAUUGCUUCCAAGGAUGAACAGUGUCUCUGACGGCCAGUUUUGCCCAGUGGAGGUGGGGUGCUGAGGGCCCUGGCUCUGACCCUGGCCUAUGAUGGCCUGUCAUCUCAG
rnacentral:lncRNA from 13 species